UGAACUAACCAAUCUCAAAUCGUUAUUUAAGACUCUAUGAAGAGACCUCCCCUUUAAUAGAGAUGCUCUGUUUAUGAUUUACGCUUUGUUGCAGGCAAGCCUUGAUUUUGGAAUUUUGGAUGGUGCGCCCAGAUUUUUUGAUGGGUUUUCGAUUCAAAAAUGAUUGAGAUGUCAAUGAGAAAAUUGUGAAAGCUAAUGCAGCUAACCUCCUCCUAAAGUGGGUUCAAAGUUCACAGUUUGAUUUUCUGACGCAGGGAGCGUCAAAAAGGAUGCUGAAAUCGUGAAAGCCGAGCCUAGGGUUUUUGCAUUAUAUACAGUUGUUUUGAACGUGCGUCACCACAGAUUUUCAUUGCGUGCAUGCGAUAAAACUUACAGCUGCGCUGUCGACAUUCUGAAAAUCCUCUUCCGGCUUCAACAAGUAAAACGGGUAAAAUGAAUCUGAUGUCAUCUCUCUUGGUUUGGACGACGGUGUUAUGGGUUAUGAUACCGUAUGGAGUGGGGAUGUAUCCACGCGGGCAAUCGGAGAUUGAAUCGGUUCCAUCAACUCCCAGAGCAGGAACGCCUCCCAGAAGUGGGUCGGGUCGCUCUUCCCCUGCUGCGCUUAAGAAGGAUGAGAAACUAAACUGGUUUCAAAGGAGGAAGCAGAAGAAAAAACAAGAGGAAGAGGAAAAGGAAAAGGCCGCCGCGAAGAAGAGAAAACCGUGAAUACUGGGAAGGAAGUCAUGUAUUAUCGCGAUGUGUCCACCGUAGACGCAAGCUCCUAUAGCCAAAUGAUCCGAAGUAUAAUGAGUGACGACCCGUGUAAAAAGGGUAAAGCUGACGCAAACGCUUACUGCAAAAUGGUGACUGGAUUCUUGAACAGACUCAAACCCGAGAAUCGGAGCCCCGACUGCCCCCACGUGAGGAACGGAAGAUGCGCCGAAAUUAAAGGCCAGAAAGUGUGCGCAGUUGACACGUACACGAAGAUGCCAUAUUGCGGAUGCUUAACCAACAGGAAAACUGAAAAGACACUCUUGACGUUUAGUCAGUGUGUUGGCACGAUCCCUUACUAA
rnacentral:lncRNA from 1 species